UACGGAGGGUGCAAGCGUUAUCCGGAUUCACUGGGGUUUAAAGGGUGCGUAGGUGGGAAUGUAAGUUCAGUGGUGGAAAUCUCCGUGCUUAACAUGGAAACUGCCAUUGAUACUAUGGUUUCUUGAAUUUUCUGGAGGUCAGCGGAAUAUGUCAUGUAGCGGUGAAAUGCUUAGAUAUGACAUAGAACACCAAUUGCGAAGGCAGCUGACUACAGGGAUAUUGACACUGAGGCACGAAAGCGUGGGGAUCAAACAGG
rnacentral:rRNA from 1 species